GACGAGAAGCUUGCUUCUCUGAUGUUAGCGGCGGACGGGUGAGUAACACGUGGAUAACCUACCUAUAAGACUGGGAUAACUUCGGGAAACCGGAGCUAAUACCGGAUAAUAUUUUGAACCGCAUGGUUCAAAAGUGAAAGACGGUCUUGCUGUCACUUAUAGAUGGAUCCGCGCUGCAUUAGCUAGUUGGUAAGGUAACGGCUUACCAAGGCAACGAUGCAUAGCCGACCUGAGAGGGUGAUCGGCCACACUGGAACUGAGACACGGUCCAGACUCCUACGGGAGGCAGCAGUAGGGAAUCUUCCGCAAUGGGCGAAAGCCUGACGGAGCAACGCCGCGUGAGUGAUGAAGGUCUUCGGAUCGUAAAACUCUGUUAUUAGGGAAGAACAUAUGUGUAAGUAACUGUGCACAUCUUGACGGUACCUAAUCAGAAAGCCACGGCUAACUACGUGCCAGCAGCCGCGGUAAUACGUAGGUGGCAAGCGUUAUCCGGAAUUAUUGGGCGUAAAGCGCGCGUAGGCGGUUUUUUAAGUCUGAUGUGAAAGCCCACGGCUCAACCGUGGAGGGUCAUUGGAAACUGGAAAACUUGAGUGCAGAAGAGGAAAGUGGAAUUCCAUGUGUAGCGGUGAAAUGCGCAGAGAUAUGGAGGAACACCAGUGGCGAAGGCGACUUUCUGGUCUGUAACUGACGCUGAUGUGCGAAAGCGUGGGGAUCAAACAGGAUUAGAUACCCUGGUAGUCCACGCCGUAAACGAUGAGUGCUAAGUGUUAGGGGGUUUCCGCCCCUUAGUGCUGCAGCUAACGCAUUAAGCACUCCGCCUGGGGAGUACGACCGCAAGGUUGAAACUCAAAGGAAUUGACGGGGACCCGCACAAGCGGUGGAGCAUGUGGUUUAAUUCGAAGCAACGCGAAGAACCUUACCAAAUCUUGACAUCCUUUGACAACUCUAGAGAUAGAGCYUUCCCCUUCGGGGGACAAAGUGACAGGUGGUGCAUGGUUGUCGUCAGCUCGUGUCGUGAGAUGUUGGGUUAAGUCCCGCAACGAGCGCAACCCUUAAGCUUAGUUGCCAUCAUUAAGUUGGGCACUCUAAGUUGACUGCCGGUGACAAACCGGAGGAAGGUGGGGAUGACGUCAAAUCAUCAUGCCCCUUAUGAUUUGGGCUACACACGUGCUACAAUGGACAAUACAAAGGGCAGCGAAACCGCGAGGUCAAGCAAAUCCCAUAAAGUUGUUCUCA
rnacentral:rRNA from 1 species